rnacentral:rRNA from 1 species
UACGAAGGGUGCAAGCGUUACUCGGAAUUACUGGGCGUAAAGCGUGCGUAGGUGGUUUGUUAAGUCUGUUGAGAAAGCCCCGGGCUCAACCUGGGAAUGGCAAUGGAUACUGGCAGGCUAGAGUGCGGUAGAGGGUAGUGGAAUUCCCGGUGUAGCGGUGAAAUGCGUAGAGAUCGGGAGGAACACCAGUGGCGAAGGCGGCUACCUGGACCAGCACUGACACUGAGGCACGAAAGCGUGGGGAGCAAACAGG